rnacentral:rRNA from 1 species
AAAGGAAUAGACGGGGGCCCGCACAAGCAGCGGAGCAUGUGGUUUAAUUCGAAGCAACGCGAAGAACCUUACCAGGUCUUGACAUCCUUUGACCGCCCUAGAGAUAGGGAAUUCCCUUCGGGGACAAAGUGACAGAUGGUGCAUGGUUGUCGUCAGCUCGUGUCGUGAGAUGUUGGGUUAAGUCCCGCAACGAGCGCAACCCUUGUGUUUAGUUACCAUCAUUAAGUUGGGGACUCUAGACAGACUGCCCGUGAAAGCGGGAGGAAGGUGGGGAUGACGUCAAAUCAUCAUGCCUCUUACGACCUGGGCUACACACGUGCUACAAUGGUCUUUUACAAAGGGUAGCGAAGCCGUGAGGCGGAGCCAAUCUCAAAAAAGAGAUCUCAGUUCGGAUUGCAGGCUGCAACUCGCCUGCAUGAAGUCGGAGUUGCUAGUAAUCGCGGAUCAGCAUGCCGCGGUGAAUGCGUUCCCGGGCCUUGUACACACCGCCCGU